rnacentral:rRNA from 1 species
UACGUAGGUGGCAAGCGUUGUCCGGAUUUACUGGGUGUAAAGGGCGUGCAGCCGGGCUGACAAGUCGGAUGUGAAAUCCCGCGGCUCAACCGCGGAACUGCAUUUGAAACUGUCAGUCUUGAGUACCGGAGAGGUCAUCGGAAUUCCUUGUGUAGCGGUGAAAUGCGUAGAUAUAAGGAAGAACACCAGUGGCGAAGGCGGAUGACUGGACGGCAACUGACGGUGAGGCGCGAAAGCGUGGGGAGCAAACAGG